UGACCUCAAAUCAGGUAGGAUUACCCGCUGAACU
rnacentral:rRNA from 1 species